AGUGAACGCUGGCGGUAGGCCUAACACAUGCAAGUCGAACGGCAGCACAGUAAGAGCUUGCUCUUACGGGUGGCGAGUGGCGGACGGGUGAGGAAUACAUCGGAAUCUACUUUUUCGUGGGGGAUAACGUAGGGAAACUUACGCUAUUACCGCAUACGACCUACGGGUGAAAGCAGGGGAUCUUCGGACCUUGCGCGAUUGAAUGAGCCGAUGUCGGAUUAGCUAGUUGGCGGGGUAAAGGCCCACCCAGGCGACGAUCCGUAGCUGGUCUGAGAGGAUGAUCAGCCACACUGGAACUGAGACACGGUCCAGACUCCUACGGGAGGCAGCAGUUGGGAAUAUGGGACAAUGGGCGCAAGCCUGAUCCAGCCAUACCGCGUGGGUGAAGAAGGCCUUCGGUUUGUAAAGCCCUUUUGUUGGGAAAGAAAAGCAGCAGGUUAAUACCCCGCUGUUCUGACGGUACCCAAAGAAUAAGCACCGGCUAACUACGUG
rnacentral:rRNA from 1 species